CCCACCCCUGCUUGGUCCUCUGCUUCAAGACCUGGCCAAGUGGGAGGCAUCGUUAUAGAAGCCGACGUAUGUUUGGUUUGGGGAAACAGCACACACGGUGGAAUUAAUAUCAGAAUCUUAGAUGGACAUAAAGGAAAAGUGGACGGUUGAAAGAAGCUAAGGACAGGAAUUGUGCCUGAAGUGGGAAGGUGUAGAAUGCCGUAUCUGCAGUGAAACUAAGGGAGUUCAUUUGGAUUUCAUAUUGAAAAGUUUUCUUUUAUCUUUUCCUGAAGGAGCACAAUAUAACAUAUGUUUCACCAAAAAUGAAAGAUAGAAUCAGAAUAGGGUAGGGCUGCAGUCUACUCAUCUCAGAAGCUGCAGAGAAUGCAUAUUAUCUGCUCAAGAACUAUUUCUGAAUGCAAAGGAGAAGACUUGACAGCAAAAGAAAAGAAAAAAGCUAACUAGAAAUCUAUACUCUAAGGAACUACAAAAUACCCAUAAGAGGUGCUUGGGGGAGAAGAACUUUCCUUUUGAGUGUCUGAAGAUGACAUUAUAAUU